rnacentral:tRNA from 1 species
GUCCCCUUAGUGCAAUGGUUAGCACGUCAGACUUCUAAUCUGAAGGUUGCGAGUUCGAGUCUCGCAGGGGAUA